rnacentral:lncRNA from 1 species
GACGUGUGGGUGAGUCAUGAGCAUGUUGCCCCGUCCCUCACACUUUAGAACCUUCUCCAGCAGUUCUGUGUCACAGGGAGAAGUUUGAAAUAACCAUCCUAUUUACUGAGUUAAAAAUAGAAGUGGCUGCAACAUGUUCUUUGCUCUUUCAGGGAUCCAAACUCCUGGGUUGCUUUCAACAGACCGAGAAUCACUGGUUGGGAACGUGGAUCUGACUGAGCAAUGGGAGCCUGGCCUUUGGGAGCUGGCCUGUGCAUGCCCUGCGUGCGUGGGAGACAUGGGACUUGUCCUUCUUUGAGGCUCCCUGGCAUAGACUCCUUGCUCACCAUCACUUUUUCAUUUUCUAUUGCCCACAACGAAGUUCAGUUUCCAAAACCAUCGCCCAACUUAUAUGCACCCACGAGGUUUGGGAUUGGUGUUAACACUAUAGCUGCCUGAGUAGCUACUUUGGCAGGCUAAGGUUCUGACCCUAUGUUACCCGUCCCUGUCUUUGGGACUGGAGGCUGAAUUCCAUGCCCCACCCAUUGGGGGCACUGCAGGCUCCAGGGUCCUGAGCCCCUGCCUGGGCUGAGAGGUAGGCUGCGGGGACAGGAGGGGCUGAUGCUGGCCUCAUGCCAUCAGGGUCAAGGGCCAGUGGUGCACACUUUGUCUCCUAUCCUGGGGUCAGCCAGGCCUGCACGGACUCAUCCUCAGCCUAUAUCUGCAGUAUAUGCCUCCGAAGUUUCCAUCAAUAGGGGGCGGCUGGGUAUACAAUGAUGAGGAAGGGUAUAGGCUCCGGGGAAGACCCAGGCACCCAAACCAGCACGAGUAUCAGGUCACUUCCCUUUUCCUCCCCCACAUGUGCCUUUCUGGUCUGUUGCACUGGGAGCCAGCUGCUAGCAGCCUGGGAAGGGCUGAGGUGCUCUCAGAGGCCAGCGUCUCCACAGGGAAGUGUUCCUUAUUCGCCCCUGGUAGGAAUGGCCAGGGAAGCCCAACAGAGAGACCGAGAGGGAUCUUCUCCCAUGUGCUCUCCCUCAUGGUGAGAAUCCCAUCCCGAAUGCAGGCAGGGUCCCCAUGCUGCCACCCCAGCUCCUGCCUUGUUGUGAGGAUGGUGCAGAGGGCUGUGGAGCCAGGGUUAGCUGGGUGGGGAGGGCUGCUGGAGGACUUGCUCAAGCAGGCUGCAGCAAGGCCUUGGGCACGGUGUGGUUACCUCACACCCAGGGACCUGCAGGUGCAUGCUGGGCUGUUUCUGGGUUGGCACCCAGACCCUUGGCCCUCACUGCCACACGAAUCUGCCUGGAGGAGCCAGGUGGGUGCUGCUUGCUGACCCUAGCCUGGCCAGGACAGCCUGGGGAGGAGCUGCAACCCAUGGGGUUGAGUGGGCACAGGGCCAUCAGCCAGGCCUACCAGACUCUGGUGAGAAGUCACCUGCCAGGGGCCUGAGGGCUACAGGGAGCCCCUGACCCAACACCCCAGAAGGCAAAGCCCAUCAGAGGUUGAGUUCCAUGGUUCCCCUAAGCUUUCUGUCUCCGGCUGUCCCUAUUAAAGGAGGGACAGUGGUUCAGGCUGCUGAGGUGGGGUGCUCAAGACCUGGCAGCUUGCCCAACAGACAUCCAUUUCUUGAAAAUCUGGAGGCUGGACAUGUAGGACCAGGAUGCCAGAGGGGCUGGGGGCUGUGAGGGCCCUUUUCUGGGGUGCAGAUGGCGCCUUCUAACAGAGUCCUCUCAUGCGAAGGUGAGCGGGGCUGCUCUCUGGGUUCAUGUAUGUAAGGGUCCUAUUUUAGGGUUCCACUCUGUGACCUGUCUGGCUCCCAAAAACCUCACCUCCUAAUACCGACACAUUGGGAGGGGCCAGGUUUCAACAUAUGAAUCUUGGGGUGACACAGACAUUGAGUCCAUGGCAGAACAGGUGCCAUAGACCCAAUACUACUGCAUUUCACUUCUCACAGAAACCCUGCCGGCAGAGGAGGAGACUGGCUCAGAGAGGUGGAGAUGCUGCCUGGUGGGCCAGCGGCCACGGCCGAGUUGGGGGGCUGGCCUAGGGUGGUGCAGAUGCCAGGACCAGUCCCCUCCCAGGGACAGGGAGUGACCUCCUCUGAGAGGACCGGGCUCCUUUCCAGCUGAGAGUGGGCAAGAUCAGCAACUGCUGUGGCCAGGACUCUGUGGGGCAGGGUGUUGGGUGGGGGUCCCAAGGGAAGGCUUUGGCUGGUCCUGUUCGGGAGUCCUCUCUCCCUUUCCUUGGCCACAGGAAGGCUGAGAAUGAAGAGGCAUCACCCACCUCCUUCACUCCUCAGGGAUCCCACAAGACCCAGCUCUUCCAUGCAGCCAUUCGAUCCUUACGCUUUGUGUGACUACUGGCCCCACUAUGCUCCUGUGAGAUAUGGCAGCUUGCUGCCUCCCUCCCAACAAGCAAGGGACCUGUGCUCUUUUUUGUCCCAGGCUGGUGGCCUGGAACGGGACCCUGUUGAUUCAGAGUGGCUCAUGUACUAAGAGGAAGUUGUGUGGCUGGGUUCCUGCAACAGAGCACCUAAGGCCCAAGAUGUGUGCACGUGUGCCCCGUUGUCCCCAGAGGCUGGCUAUGGUCUGGUGGCAGAGGUUCACUCCCAGGGAGGAAGAAAUCACCAAGUGACAAGUGAUGUUUUGGGUAAAGCCCUUCUUGUUCCGCCCUCACCCACCUGGGGCUCCUAGGCUUCCUGGUGCUUCCCCCUGCUGUUGUUUCACUGGGGAGGGACCAGGGCAGGGAGGGGACAGCUGGGGAAACAUUCCUGAUUCUCUGUGCAUUCCUUUCUUCCUGUCCACUGGUGAUUCCUGAUCUGCUUUGGGGUAGGUAAAUAACUCUUCCCUAUCAACAUCUGACAUCCCCCAAACUCUGUGGCAUGAACCAUCACCCCAGGUUGGCUCUUGGUGUGUGAGGUUCAUCCUAUGGAAUUCUAAGGAAAUCUCUCUCCAUACAGCCUGGUUUUGCAAAUCAAAAGCUCUUUGAUUUUUUUCAGACUGCUUCAGCUAGAGACAGACAAAGUCUACACAAGAGUCUCAAACAGGAUCGCAGCUUGCUGGUUUCAGCAUGCGGGAAGCAAUCCUGCCCCCUGGACAGCAGGGUCCAGGCAGGUUGGCACCCAUUGUUCUGGGGGCAACUGUUCAUCUCAGACUUUAUAAAUGUGCUGACGAUCACCUGAGGGGGGAAACGUUCUGAGUUUGCAAAUGAGCUGGUAUGGGAGCCUUGGCUAGGUCUGGGAAGUCCGGGAAGCAGCCACCUCUUACUGCCUUAGACUGCCACCUUGCUAGGUAUGCAGAAUGAAGGGACUUCUGGAAGGCAGAGACAGCCACUGCGGAGCCCACAAGGGCUACACAGGAGGUGGGCCUGGAGGUGGCUAUGGGGAGAUACUGACCAGGCGCCUAGAAAGAGAGGCAUUUCCAGUGCAAUCAGUGGGAUUGAAGGUGUGGGAGACAGGCGUUCACUGAGUGGCCAGGGCCAGUCUGAUGGCUCUGAGGCUUUGUGUUGGAGCAUGGCAAAAGAGGAGGUCAGAGAGGUGGGCUGGCUGGGCACGGAGUCUUGGAAAGUUGACUGAGGGGUGGUCUGGGCUCACUAAGGAGUGAGCCACAUUCCAGGAGGAAGUUAGGGACAGGUGGAAGUGAGGUGCCAGAGGACAGCGACAGAUGCUGUUAUGGAGGCCCAGCAUGGUGGACUGCAGUGGGCAUGAGGAGGGGAGGGGAGGCCUGAGUGGGCAGCACCCUGUGGGGGAAUCACCAGGUCUCUGGAGCUGACUCUGGAGGUGCAAGGAAGCUUCAGGUCUGUGGGUGGGAAGCCAGCCAGGCUUCAGCAGCACUGGGGAAGCCUGGAGGGGUCCCUGUUGGGCAGCACUGGUGGCACUGCAGGGUGGUGACAUUCAGUAGCCAGCUGGCCCUGGGGGCAUGGAGGCAGCAGAGUGGCCAGGACUGUGGUGACAUAUAGAUUCUGUGCAGGAUGACCCUGCAGGAGGUGAGACUGCAGGUGGAUGGCCUCUGGGGAGGGCGCCUGGAGCAGAGCCAUGGCCCCGGGAAAGCCCAGGGGCAGCCACACUGCCCAAUGCACUGGAACAUCUCAGAGGAACUGGACCUAGGAGAGGAGCACUCUGCCCCUGGGUGACAGCUGGGGCUUUCUCCUGCUCCACCUGCCGAUUUCAGUCUCAUAAGGCAUUUUUCUUAGUGAGCGCAGUGGAGACCAAAGCCUCUCAGAACAGGAGAGUGGGAGCCUGAAGAAGGGCCUUCUGGAUCCCUCCAGGGCCCAGGGCAGUCUUGACGCCACCCCUGUGCCCCCUGACACUGUCCCCCAGGCCUCAUGCCCUGUAGAGGGACAAGGCGAUUUCCCAGGCCGCUCAGGAGUUUAUAUUUUCUUCCUUUCUACUUUUUCUUUUGUUCUAACUAGUUUUACAUGACAGGGGAAUGCAUUUUGACACAUCUUUUUUUUUUUAAAUAUUUAUUUAUUUAUUUUAGUUUUCGGCGGACACAACAUCUUUGUUUGUAUGUGGUGUUGAGGAUCGAACCCGGGCCGCACGCAUGCCAGGCAAGCGUGCUACUGCUUGAGCCACAUCCCCAACCCCUUGACACAUCUUAUGUAAAGGGAUAUCAGGGGGUUAUAUUUCUGUCAUCACAGACUCCUAAACAAGUGCUCUCAGGAUGGUGAUUUUUCGGGGUGCACCCCCAGCGGCAGUUGCGUUUCUGGGCUGGUGAUUAAAGAUGGCUAUGCAGGUGGGGGUGGUAGGAUGCAUCCCAUUUUUUCCGCACAAGAUCUUUUCCAACUAAAUGAAUCCUGCGGCUGGCUGCAUACCCUGAGAUCCCCCCUCUCCCAGCAACGAGCCGACCACAGCACCAGGCCUGGACACAGCAGCUUCCCGCCCCAGCCCUCCCGACAGCCAGCAGAAGCCAAUCAGUCAGGGUGGAGAGGUGGCCCUGGGCUGUCUGGCUCUCCUGGCAGUGCUGUUCACAGGCUGGCUGUUGAAGGGACACUCUUUCCUUCGCCCUGCGCCCUCUGAAGGUGAAGACUGGGCUUCCGCCUCCCUGUGAGCACCUGUUCCCUACCGUUCCGACAGUUUGACUAACUCAUCAAGCUUUUUGUGCAGCACAUACUCUGGCAGGAACAGAAGCAGCAUGACACUCGCUGGAUACGGGCUGCGCAAGCACCACCACGUGCUCCCAGAGCUAGGCCAGCAUCCUGGGCGUAGCUGAUUGGCAUUCUGUCUCAUGCCCACCAGCUCACAGUGGCGGAAGCUAUGGACACGUGGAUGGGGAGGGGAGGUUUGUGGGGUGUGCUCACAUAGUUCUUCUCCAUUUGAGAGAAGCCCACUGUAGGAAAGGCCCCAGUCUGAGGCAGUCACAGGCCCGAGUUCGGGCACCUUGGGAAAGUGUGUCCUCACACUCUACUGACCUGUCAGGGCCAGCGUGGCCAGUCCUCUGUCCUCAGGCUUCUGGUCCCAUGAUGGUCACUAGGUGUCCAGAGCAGGAGGACAAAAGGAUUUUGAGGUCAUUUGGACACACUCACCAAGACCAUUGCUGGUCCAUGAAGCUCUCACUGUCCUAGCUGAAGGGCAACAUCUCCUCUGCUGGAAGCUGAGGAUACUGCCUUAUGGUGCGGAUGCUGCAUAUGCGAUGUCACACACGAAGCCUGCCUCACUUCUUGAGAGGGUCUGUGGCUUCAGUCCCUCUGAAGGAUGCAGGAUGGAGAGCCCUGCAUCUAGGGCUGAUCCCAGAAAUGAGUUCCAGGGGUCUAUGCUGAGGCUGCUGGUCCUGCUAGAGGUGAUGUGGCCUCUCCCUUGACCGGCUGCAAUUGCUUGGGGAAAAAGGCACACACCAGGUCAGGAGCGGUUCUUAUCCUAGUGAGGCUGACCCCAGAGCUUCUAGGCCUCGAGGAUGCACUGAUGGGCCCAGCAUGGUGCUGACAGGUGGACAGGCAGAGGCUUGCCUUCCUGGGGCUUACCACCUGGAGCAUGGCAUUUGCACAUUCUCUGUGAAGAGCCAGAUAGUAAGCAUUUCCUACCUUGUGGGCUGUGGGUCUCUGUCCUAACUAGCCAUGUGGUCACUGUAGCUGUAGGUGGAUGCCUUGGUGUUCCGAUAAAACCUCACGUUUUUGGUCAGAUUUUGCAAUUUCUUACUACCCAGAUUUUCCCUCUGAGCCUCUGAAGGAUGGGAACAUGUUCUUGCUCCUUUUCUUUUUCCCAGAGCCUAGCAUGGGGCCUUACUCAGUUUACACCCCCCAGUCAUUUCAAGAAGACGCUGGGGGCUCCAGUUAUGCUGACAGUUCACACACUGGGCCGCGCUUGAAGGGCCUAAGUGCUGCCCACUGAGGUGCACACCUCUCACAGCGGAUACUGGCGCUGGGGCACUUUCUAGUUCAUUCUGUUGUCUUUUCUAUUCCCUCCUUUCCUUCCCUUUCUCCCUUUUCUUCUUCUUUCUCCUCUCACCUAUUUUCCUAAACAUUUAUUAGGCACUUUCUGUGUACAGACACUAUGCUUGGCUCUAGAGACACAAAGAACAGUCAAGACAUAAGGUUGGUCCACAAGGGGCUUCGAUGAAGGGAGAAGAGGCCUGUUCUGCCUCAGGAUGCUGAGCUGUGGGCACAUGGGCCCAGGCCUUGCCUCUCCCCCAAAGCAGGGAGUGGGCAUUAGCUUCCAGUGGCUGCCUCAGCCUCUGAGCCACGGGUUAAAUCUGAGGCUGUUCUGCAAGGGCGCGGGCCUGGCUGGUGUUGUUUCUAGGCAGAGGCUGGAACCUGUGUCUCUUGUUUUGAUAAAGCUUUGCUGUCAGAGUUUGAGCAAUAGGUGUGGAUAUCUUGAAGCAAGAUAGUGGCCAAGUCCUCAUCUAGGAAGCAGAGAGCUAAGCUGAAGAGGAAAUUUGCAACCAAGGGAAACAACCAGCAGGGACCAGAUCAGAAAAAGGUGGAAAAACAUAACCCAGAGGCACACUUUGCUUUGUUUAGAACACAUUUUCCUGUGAACCCCAAAAGCUGUGCCAGGUGUGUGAUGAGCAGCCGUGGACGGCGGAGCCCACCUGGGGCCUGCUUCCCACUCCCUCCCUGCUCUGCUCUCAGGUGUCAUCUUGGAGCUGGCGCUGCCAGGUCACAUGGUCCUGUGCACCCUGUACUGUUGGAGGUUAGCACGUGUCCAGCCCACUUUACCCAGGAUCUCUCAAUGGCCGUGAAGCCUUCUGCACUGUCCCGUUAAUCCUCAGGUGCUCUCUGGUUCUGGCCUCAUUGAGAGGCCACGGGUUCAUUUCUCCUAAGAUGUCUUCCAGCCAGUGUAUUCUCUGACCUGGGGCUUGGUCUCAAGGCCUCCGGCUCACAGAGACCUAGCCGGGGACAGCCCUGGCUCUGGGCAAGGACAGGAGAGAACCCCAGAGGCAUGCACACAGUUUUUGGGUAUGUGGGUGCCAGCUGAGGUCCCAGCCGGGUUUCCUAGGAAGUCCAAGUAUCACAUCCCACACCUUGGGUGGAAGGGAAAGAGGACAGAGGUGGGUCAGUUGGGUGAGGGGCUCCCAGGGACCCAGGUCCAGAGGGUGAGUGGACUUUUAUCCCUUUCAGGGACUGGAGGAUCAAAGUGCAAAAGAUCCCAAAACUUCCUGUCACCAUACCUCACUAAUUAGGCAACUCCUGGCAAUUCGACUUUGGACUUUGCUCUUGAAAAGAAAAUCCUGGUAGAUCCAGGAACUCGGCAAGACGUCAGCGUUUGCUCAGGGGUUGAGGUCCCCUGAACCAUCUAGGUCACCUGCCCCAGACUGGUGGUUAGUCAUGGCCUGAUAAUAACAAGAGAGUACGUCAAGCUUCACGUGUGCUUUGGCAUUCAGUGCUCAUAUCUGUGUGUCUUGCCGUGACCUCGAGGAUGAGCAACGGUGGCCUACUAGGUGCUCACCUUCGAGCACCUGCUGCCCUCCUGCCCCUGUUCCAUGCACGGUCGACGCAUCUUCUCUCUCAAUGCUCACUGUAGCCGUGAGUGAUGCAGCUGUCACAUCAGGAGUGGACCAGGCUCCCGCAGGAUGGGGAACAGGCCUGCCCACAGGGCUCAGGGGGCCACCAUCUUCCCAGGCCAUGGAACAGGGAGAGACCAGGUUAUCUGGCACCUGGACUCCCAUCUGGAGCUUGAUGCAAGUGCCCCCAGCAGAGGUAGAAGGUGAAAGGAGCUGGCCUCAGAUGGCCCCUGUGACCACUGCCUUGUUGCCCACCCAGCGUUGCUCUCUCUUGGGAAGAUGGUGUCACCUACCUUGGCCCCAGUCUGUGGGUUCAGGGUGAAGACCCCUGUGUAUCCAGCUGCUCAGCUGAGAGGACUGUUAUGAACAGGGUGCAGGGCAGGAGGGGGCAGGGACCUCUUCCAGGGCUGCUGCAGGCCCCGCUGUGCUGGAGAAACUGGAGAGGACCGUGGCUCCAGGUGAGCGCUGGGUGGGCGAAGGUGGCUGUGGCAGCAGCAAAUGGCAGGGUGAGGGCUGAAGAGCAAGGAGCAGUAGAGUGCCAGAUAAGGGACCCUCGCCCAGGGGUGCAGGCAGGAGCAUGUCCCGCUGAAGGCAAAAGCUGCAGGAGGGUGAACCCAUGUUGUCCCAUGUCCCCAGGUGGCAGCCGUGUUGCUGAGGACACCGUGUAGGGGAGCACCACCUCCUCCCAGGCCACCUGCCCACUGAGGUGCAGACACACUCCUGAUUUCCUCUGAGACAGGGUAAAGCGUGGGUUGUUAGGACAUUUCUUAAUUGCAGGGAGACUACAUGGCAAACUCCUAGAGGCAAGUAUGUGGCUCUGUGUCCUGGUGAUGGUGACGGGGACUAGGCUGCCUGGGGCAGCGGGCCUCGGUGCCUACGGCUCUAUUCUGGAUGUUCUGCGAGUGCGCUUACUGCGAGGUCAUGGAGGAGAGCGGCUGGCAGGACAGAAACGAUCCCGGUAGAGUUUUUCAGGGUUAGAAGGAACGGAGGUCCCAGAAGGUUGAGUGGAAACUGCAUCUGGUGUGGAGGAGGGUCCGGAUCCACCCUCAUGUCUGACAGCUCCAUGCCUGGGGUGGGGAGCACCCGUGCUUGACCAGGUGUGAGUCAACUUGGGGACGUGGUUCCUGCAGGGAGGGGCAGCAGGCAGCAAGUAGGUGGCCUUGGGGGUCCAUGCUAGGAGCCUCUGCUGGAGGUCUUGGGAGACCGCUGCCUGCUCCCAGGGGAGUGGCAGUUCUCUGUGGUCUGAGUCCCAGGUGACACCCGCCUAGGAGGAUGAAGGGUGCUGGGAGGGAAUUCCCUGUGUAUCUUCUCCCACCAGGUCCCAGGGAAAAUGCCCAGGGAGUAGUGAGCAUGAAGGUGAGGGAGGAGGAGGCGAGCUGCCCAGGAAAGUCAGAAGUGAGGGCUAUGCCAGGCGGAGGCACAAAGGGAGUCCCGUGGCCAGGCAGACAGGAGAUGGGAGGCCGAGAGGGAGGCCAGCGGGCUCCAGGACAAAGAGGGUGGGAAGAAGUGUGAGGCAGGAAGUGCUUCAGGCUCUCAGGUGGGGAAAGGCUGCCUGCUCUGCAGAGGAGCCUGGAAACCAGUAACAGGAUAUGGAGGGGCCAGGAGAGGAAGGCCUGCCUUCCUCAGGGAGGGAACAAUGGCCAUUCUUCCAUUGAAGGCUGACAUGCCCUGAGAGAGGAAGGGCCUGCCAGGAGGGAGGGCCAGUCAGGGGACAGGAAGGAAGGGGCCAGAGCCUGCACCGACCAGAGGAAGGCCAGAGGCCCCUGCAUUGCAUUUGGAACUCAAUACACCCGCCUCCAGAGCACCAGGCAGCCGGCAAGGUCCCCAUGGCCAUGGCGUCACUGCUGUGGCUUUCCCAGGAGCCCUGCCCCUGCUCUUCCCUCCCCUUGGCCUCUUCCAGGACCCCAGGUUCCAGCCUUGCUAGGGCAUCCUGAGGCUGGUCGAGGCCAGGGUCUCCCACACCACCUGCUGGGUUCUGAGACUUCCCAUCUACACACACGGGAAGAAGGAGCUCCCAGCAUAAUAAAGGAAUCGGGCCAAAGUAAUCAAGGCCCCCAUCCCCCCAAGGCGCCCGUUUCCAGGACAAUCAGGGCCGCCCACUGAACAACACUUGCUCAGUACAAAGGAAGUGCAUGACGGGUCCAGGGGAAACGUCUGAUUGUUGGGCACACAACAAUGGACGGGUGGACUGAAUGGCACUCACAUGUGAGGUUGCUGUGCCGAGCAGCCCUUCGGAAUCCUAGAGAGCACCGUGGAGUGGCAUGGGGCGCUCCCACUGAGGACUGAGAGGUGUGGCCUUCACACUCAGUCCUUCCCUUGGGGCUGCGCUCUGUGGGAGUGACUCACACACUUCAUGCCUCACCUGCCUUGGCCUGGUUCCCCAUCCCCUCGACAGGAGGUGGGCCCUUUGUCAACAGCAGCGGGUGGCACCAUGGACUUCAUUUGGCAUGAGAUGAGGAUCAGGGGGCCAAGGUAGCUGAGAGGAGGAAGCAAAAGAAGGGCUAGGGGACCUCAGGGAAAGCAGGCCUGUCAUUUGCCAAGGACUGGAUGUUUGUGACCCCUUCGCCCCAACCCCCAGUGUGACUGUAUUUGGAGAAAGGGCCUUUGUCAUGAUGCUCAAGGAUAAAGGAGGUCAUUAGGGUGAGCCCCGAUCCAAUAGAAUUAGUGCCCUUCUGAGAAGGGACAGAGAGAGCUCUCUCUCUCCACUAAGCAAGGACUGAGGGAGAAGGUGGCCCUUUGUGAGCAGGGAAGGAGGUCCUCACUAGGAACCAGCAAGCCAGCGCUGUGGUCUCUGCUUCCAGUCUCCAGACCCACAGUGUCCCAAGUAGCUGGGAUGUGGUUGUUGUGCCUGCCCUGGGGGACUUCAAACCUGAAAGACUGAAGAGAUGAAACUCUCACUGCAUGUUCUCACUUCCAGGUGGGAGCUGGAAGGUGGUCUCAGAAGUGGAGGGCAGAGUAGUGGCUGUGGCAUCUGGGGACAUGCUGGGGAGGAGGAACAUGGAGAGGGUAGUUCCUGGGUAUAGGCACGCAGCCCUAGGGGAGGAACGACUUCUAGAUUCCAAAGCAGGUAGGUAACUAUUGUUGGUAGCAAUGUAUGGAACGUUUCAAAAUGGCUAGUAAAGAAAGAUUUUGAAUGUUCCUGACACAAAGAAAUGAUCAAUGUUUCCGGUGACAGACAUGCCAAACACCCUGACCUGCACCUUCCACACUGAGGAUGUUGAAAUAUCACCCUGCACCUGGUAAUCAUGUACAAUUACUAGGUGACAAUUAAAACUAUUUUACAAGAAGGGUCAGGAAGUUUCAGGGGAAAAAGGUCCUUCAAGGCCAUCUGAGACAUUGCCUGUCCAGUUGACAGCAGCCCUCCCAAGGCCCACAGAGCCUCCCCAGUCCACUCAGCGUGUUGUGCUGACUUGGUCUUGUUGGCACAGGCGGAGGAGCAGAGGCUCCGGACACCUGCACCCUUCUCAAGGCUUCGCCCUGUCUCUAUGGGGCCCCUCACCUGCAGGCGUCAGUGGGUGCCACUCCAUCCCGGUCACCAGUAGGGGCUGUGUCUUCUGGCCGGUGGUCAACAGCAGGAGAGGUCAGCUCUUCAUGAACCAGGCCCAUCUUCAUGCAAAUGUGUCUGGGAAUAGCAGGGAGCAGAACUGCAGGGUAUUUGUGGCGGAGAGAAGUGGGGCUGCUGGGGAACAGAUGCUUUAUUGGGCUCCUGUGGAGCACCAGCUGCUCCUCUAAUGUGUCCACUUCAGGCUUUCAGUGGGGAGCGACUGCUCCAUAAGUAGCAGGCAUAUGAGCCAGGCAUGGUGGCCACGCCUGACAUCCCGGUGACUCGGAGGCCGAGGCAGGAGGAUGGCAAGUUCCAGGCCAGCCUCGGCAACCUAGGGAGACCUUGUCAUGGGAUAAAAGUUGAAAGGGCUGGGUGCAGCUCUUGGUAGGUUGCCCUGCAGUCUCCAGUGCUGCGGCACGAGGAACAGGCACGGAGCAGGGUGUCACUGUGCCUGGGGACCUGCCAGAGCCCACAUGCCUCUCCCAGUGACACCUUUGUGCCUGGCCCUGGGCGCCUUCUCAUUUUCUCUAAGUUUUAUAAUCUUUUCCUUUUUUCUUUACUUUCUAUUUUGGAGAAAAGUCCUACCUCAGGAAAGUUGCAAGACUAUUUAGAGGCGCAGGUUUCCUCCUCUUCUGGGCAGAGACAUUACUGGUAGCUUUGUCUGGGCAGCUUGAGGUCCAGCUGUAGGCAUUGCAGCCCCCAGGUAACUCCAUGCUCUCUUCACCUGCAAUCCUGUCGUCUCUUCGGGGCCCAUAGUUAUGGCUGCCCAGAUGUCCCAGGGCCACGAUUGCCCCAGGGGAUUUGCUUAUCUUGUCUCUUUAGCCCUCUUUAUCUGGAACAAUCAGUAGCCUUUCCUGGAAGUUCACAGCACUGAUUCUGGGAUUGUGCGGAUCUGAAGAGGGAAGCAGAGUAGCGGGACUGCCAAGAGUGACCAGUGGACAUUUGUGGGGAGCACGGGUCAGGCUCAGGAGGGGGCUUGGGGCUAGGAAGGAGGUGUGGACAUAAGGCCACAGGGAAUGACUGUUGGAGAGGUCUGAGGAGGGCCACUGCUCCCAUCCAUGGGCUAGGCCUGAGCGUGGCCAGCAGGUAGGCAGCUGGGGUGGGGAGGACAGAGCAAGGUAGUGCUAAUGGAACUACAGUGGCCAUGUCUGUCACAAGAGAUAUUGGUGACCUCCACAGGGAGCUGCCCUGUGCCUGGGCUGUCCCUUGGAUGAGGUGAAGGAGGAGUCAGGAGUCCUGGUGUGGAGGUGCCCAGCAGCGGGUGGUGUGAGCGUCUGCAGAGCCUGUGCCCCUCUUGUGCACACAUCCGCCUUGGUUGCACGAGCCCUUGUGCAUCCCACAAACGCCUCUGCACUCCUGUGAGGGAUCUGGUGGGAGCAGGAUGGUGGACGCAGGCAUGACAGCACUCCAGGCCGCAGCCCUGGCUCUGCCCCAUGGCACCCAUCCCACCUGCUCCUGGUGACUUUUCCCUGUGAGCCUGCAAGCUUCCCAGGGAGGACAGGCCCAGUCUGUCCACUGUGGCAUGUCACUAGAACUGCCUGGAGCCUGGCAUGGAGUCCUCACAACUGACAGAAGAGGUGAACCCGGCUCUGCUCUUUCAAAGCCGCUGAAGUUCUCCCUGGAGAUGACCUGGACAGUUAGGUUCCCACUUGAGACACUGCUGAGUCCAACCACCUUCAAUGGUGAUGUUGUCUCAGGAUAGACUGUUCUAAUAAAGGGGGGGAUUCAAUUCCAAGUACAGAUGACCCAGUAUAAUCCAAAAUAUCAUGAGAGGAGUUUAUUUCCUCACAUAGACCAAGUCCAGAGCAGCCACUAAGCCCUCGGGGACCUGGCUCCUUCCAUACACUGCUCUGCCCAUCCUUGGGUGUGGUCUCAUCCUCUUGUGCCAGGCUUUCAGUGGGGAGCGACUGCUCCAUAAGUAGCAGGCAUAUGAGCCAGGCAUGGUGGCCACGCCUGUCAUUCCAGUGACUCGGAGGCCGAGGCAGGAGGAUGGCAAGUUCCAGGCCAGCCUUGGCAACCUAGGGAAACCAAGAAGGAGACUCCACAUUUCAGGCCAGUGGGAGGGGGGUGACAAAGAAGCAGCUCAACAUGCAGCCACAGGACCUUCUGUGUAUACCCCACCAUCUGUUAGCUUCUCCCGUGGUGCAAAGGAGGCUGGGAAUGCCAUCUUUUCUCUGGGUGGCAUGUGCCCAGGGAAAAGGCCUUGCUCUGGGGAGCAGUGGUCUGGCUUUGUCUGGCCACCAGCAGUCCUUGCCAUAGCUGAUUUGGGGAAGGCCUGGUGUGUCUUUCUUCUUACUCCCUCUUGUGCAGAAUGGGAUGGUGACCAGAGGCUUGGGCCUGGCACUCUUGGGACAGGGGUGAGGCUGGUCCACCUUAGCUUUUGCUAGAAGUGGGGCCAGUUGGUGGUGGUGCAUUGUGAUUGGCUUCCUCGUGUUAAGUGGCACCAGGCAGUCCAUGAUGCAGGGAAAAGGGCAGGCAUCACCUAAAUGCCUGGAAAAACCCAAACCAAAUCAGCAGCAACCACCCCAAACCCGAGAAAGCUGGUUACGACCUAGGGGCCAAGGGGGGAAGGGAGGAGACCCGCAGCAGGGCCAUGAGUCCGUCAUGGCGACUCUCUGGCCUAGUCUGUGGCGAUGUGAUUGAAGAGUGCAUUUACUAUCAGUGGAUUUUAAAUCUCCUUUUAAAAGCGUGAGUCUCAAGGGAGUGUGUCAGAGGCGGGCAGCUGCUCCCCAGAGGGCAGUUUCCAACUUACUGUGGCUGAGCCUAUUUUGUUUUAUUAAAGAAGGCCAGCUGAACCUGCCUCUGUUCUCAUGCUGUGGACUCAGAAUGCAGAAAGCAGAGCUGCCUCUGCAGAGCCCAGCCAGUAGGAUGCCAACGAGGGACCAUCCUCGCUCUGAGCCCUCACUGCCUUCUGGACUCCAGGUGGACCCUGAGGGUGGGGGAAGCAAAGGCUGUGGGUAAAGGAGGGGCAACGUGCUCCUGUUUGAGCAGAUUCCACCUGAAGAUGAAACGCUUGUAUUCAUUCAAGGCCCCUCCGUCCCCGGCCUGGACGCUCCGUUUCGGCCAUUGCACAGGACCUCCAUGCAUGAGUAUGUGCCCAUAGGCUGGGCCUCGCAGGGCUGGAGCUGGUUUUUAGCUGUGUCUGCUUCUGUCUAAGCCCUUACGUGUGCGGUGGGCCAGAGAGGCAAUGUAGGACACUGCGUAAAUCCACCGGGGAGUGAACAAAUCCAAAGCCAGGGCAGCCGCUGAUGUGCAGGGCACACUGCAUUCUAGUCCUGGGCACCCAGGCCUCAGGCAUCCAAGGCAGCCAUAGAAGGCAGGGCUGUGUUCUCGCCUCUGGGGUGAAGGGAGGGAGCUGGGAGACUCUGAGUGACUUGUCUGCUGGUCCCUGUGUGAUGGAGGUGGGAUCAGGAUGGGGCAGUCUAGAGCGGGGCAGCUGGCAUCAUCACCGCCAGUGGAUGCUUGUGCAGGACAGGAAGGUGCUCCCUGGUACAGGCGGGGAGCCCUGGGCUUGGAUGGGAGUACAGAGCAAUGCCCCACAUAGUUCCCCCCACACGCCACAAGCCAGCCAGUGGGGUCAGCCGCCCUCCCUUUAAACAUGGUCACUGUGGAUGGCGAAGAUCCUCAGCUGGCUCAGCCCCUGCUCUUCUGUAUCUUGCUUUUGCCAAGGCAAUAGUAGCCCUUUGGCUUUGGGUCUGAGUGAAGAUGCACCUCCUCAGAGGGGGUCUCCUGUCCCAAGCUCUUUGCUGUGAGGCCACAUCACCAGCAUUACUCAGGUCACUUUGACCUGCCAGCUUUUUUAUGUCUGUUUACCAAGCCCUAGAGAGGAGGAGCCACGGUUGGACUCUUCCCUCAUGUGGCACUGACAUGACCAUGAACUGCAGCAUGGUUUCUCUGGUCUCUUGGCAACCCGCCGGCUGCCCUGGUACCACUGGGCUGUGGACAUGGCAGGUGUGUUCCUUGGGAGAUCAUCAGUCUAGUGGUAGCAAUGGGAGGGCCCCAGUGACACUGUGAUCUCCAUCCACCUUGGGAGUAGCCGAUGGGGUCCAUUGAGGUGAGCUGAAGCAGGGAGCAGGUGAUGCGUGGAUGAAGCUUGGGCUUCUGGAGGCAAGGGACACACAAGGAAGGGGACAGUCCAGCCACAGUAGGCAAGGAGGUCCAGGCUGUGGUGCCGGGUCUGUGAGUGUGUUCAGUCCCGUGGGGAUCUGCAUUCAGUGUGCCUGUCUAGCUUGACUCCAUUGGUAGCCUUGAGCAAGUGUCUUACCUAGCACUGGGAGCCUGGCCUGUGUCCUGACUGUGGCUUCCUGGGCUUCCAUGACCCAGCCCCUGAGCAGUUGCUGGUCCUCUUGAUGGCCUGGCUCCAACACUUGGAGCCUAGUCAUUGGUGCUGUCCUUCAGUCCUAGACCUUUCCCAACCCUCGCCCCCAUCUGUCCUCCGAUUGCCCCCGGCUCCCUGGACUGAGCCUCCUCCAGUUUUUCUCGGUCACUACCCUGUCUCAUGAAGGGUCCUGCCCAGCCUGGGCUCCUGUGGCCUGGUGUCUGCUGAAUUGCACUGAGCCUGGCAGUGGGAAACAGAUUGAUGAUCGCACAUCUUCCAGGCCCAGGAAGCAGAACCAGCCAUGUUCGUUUUGCUACAGAGGAGGGUAGUGUAGCGUGGAGCCCAGGGCUCACUCGCUAUGUGCUGUUUUGAAUCUGAGUUAGAGUCAAAUUUGUCUCUGAUUAUCUGGGUGAACUCCUUAACUAUUUGUUUGUAAUACCACCAACUAUUUCCAGAUGUUAGCGCAGCAUGUAUACCGUGCCACUGAGGGUGGAGGGGUUAGUGCUGAAACCAUUUUUAAUAUAAGAAAAAUGCAUAUGGAGAAAUUAAAUCCCCUACUAAAGAUCCGGCAUUGUUUACCCACCACAGGUUUUUUCUUGGCUGGAACACAUCUGUCUCCCUCUUAUUCCAGCUGCUCCCGCCAGCUCCAAACACUGGGAUUACCCGAUUCCUCUCUGGUGGUUCAGUGAUCUGGCAUCUAGAGACCAGCAAAGGCAAUUUCAGAGUUCUACUAACUCCCAUUUGGAAAUAAGUGAUAGUCUCAUGGGGUCACCAUGAAGAUGAAGGGGGGCAGCAGACAGAAAGCACCUGCGAUGGCACCUGGCUCCUGCUCAAGUUUUGGUGAAGACCAGUUUGUCUUUCUCCUUAGGAAGACCCAUUUUCUCAACACCUGCACUAGAGACCUUGCUGCCUCUGAUGUGGGCUUAUCUAUGGCUGAUCCAGAGUCCAGAGAUUGGGUAGAAAGAACAGGCUUGUGGAGCUGGGAAGACAUGUGUGUGAAUCCUGGUUUGUGUCUUCCUCCCCGGUGGCCUUAGGUGCAGCAGCUUGGCUGAGUGUCAGGGCCUUCAUUUGUAAAUGGAGAACGUCCUGCUGAGAACACGGGCCAAUGGUGAAGUAUUGCACAGAGAUUGCUGUUAUCACUGUGUCUGCCACCAAUUUUGGUAGUAAUUUGUCACCAGAGCAUCGUAUUCUCAGGUAUCUUCAUGGGUGCUAUGAAACUGCUGUAUUGUGAUGCCAAUCAUUCAUUUAUUCAUCUAACUAAUAUGUAUUGUGUGCUUGCUCUGCGACAGGCACUAUUCCAUGUGUUGGGAAUGCAAGAGUCAGCAGGGUAAGCCUCAGUCCAAUGGGUGUCACAUUCUGGUGAGAGGGACAGACAAGAAACCCAUAGGUCAUGGAAGUCUCUGUAGGUGUAACAGGGGCUCAGAGAUGAGUUCGUUGGAGAGACUCACAGUCUGGCUGGCAUACCCAGGCUGGCAGUGAGACAGCAGUUCCUGGUCUUCUCGACCAUUCAGCUUGUUCCUGGCGGGGUCUUUGUAGUGCCCAGCCUUGAGCAGCCUCCCUUUUUGACCCUAGGGCCUUCUUCUUCCCCUCCAGCCCUUUCCUGCACAGGCUCAGGGGCCUUCAUUGCACUUUGGCCCCUGACUCCCAAUCUACUCUCUUCCUGGAGAAGGAGGUUCCCGGAGCUUUGAGAGGAAUGUUUAGCUGCUCUCCAGAAGCAGCUCAGGAAGCUAGAUCAUGCUUCUGGCUGUUAAGAAGCACUUUCUAGAGGAUGGCCAUUCUCCACCCCCAGAUGGCUCCCUCACACCCCUGGCCAUGCUGACUCUCGAGGCCUUGUUCCACCGAGGUGUGGAGCUACCACCAUUGGGGCAGCCUGGUAUCUCCCCGCUUUUCUCCACCUACUAGAUUCUACCUACCUAUGACGUCCACCUCAGCAGUAGAGAACGUGAGCUGAUUCCCCAUAUCUCUGAUUCUGGUGGUCCAAAAGCCCUGAGGUUUUGUUGGACACACAGCUAAAAGUGAGGUCUUCUUCUCUGCCUGGUGGACCAUGUGACUGGGGACUCCUUCCUUCCUUCCUUCCUUCCUUCCUUCCUUCCUUCCUUCCUUCCUUCCUUCCUUCCUUCCUUCCUUCCUUCCCUCCUUCCUUUCUUUACCGGGGAUUGAAUUCAGGGGCACUCACCACUGAGCCACAUCUCCAGCCCUAUUUAGAGAAAGGAUCUCACUGAGUUGCUUAGCGCCUUGCUUCUGCUGAGGCUGGCUUUGAACUCACAAUCCUCCUGCCUCAGCCUCCUGAGCUUCUGGGAUUACAGGUGUGCACCACCACGCCCAGCCUCCCCCUGCCUUUCUGGCUGGUAUGGCUGUGCAGUUGGUGUCAGGACUUGGUUUCUUGGCAGAGUAACUAGUUGGAAGGUGCCUGGUCCUGGAGUUGGUGCAGCUUGCCCCACAGUCCUGGACCAUGGGUGCUUGUGUAAUCAUCUCAGAGAAGCUGUGGAUCUCCCUCUCAAAAGCCGCCGUUAUUUGGGUUAUAGGUCAGGUUAGAGACCCCAACUUGAGAUCCGGGACAUUCUUUCUGCUCUGUGAAGUCCUCCCAACCUGUCUCUCCAAAAUAUCUCCAAGGAAUGUGAUUCUGCCUCAGUGAAAGUGGUUCUGUGUCUCUGUAGGAGCAGACAAACCCUGGACAAGGCAAGCCCAGGAGCAGGAGCCUGUCUGCCCGAGAGCCAGCAAGGCCCCCUGACUUCAUCCUGGUGCUUUGUGAGUGUCUGCCGGCAAAUCCUGGGUGAUGGAGAGUGAUCCUGCUCCUUAUGGAGAGCAAAGACUCCAAAGCAGCACUGUCCAGGAGCAAGGUAAUGCAGAGCAUGUGUGUCAUUUCAAAUUCCCUACUAGCCACAUUAGGAAAAAAGAAGAAGAAGAAGAAGAAGAAGAAGAAGAAGAAGAAGAAGAAGAAGAAGAAGAAGAAGAAGCAGCAGCUAGUGAAAUUAAUUUUAGCCUUAGGUUUUAUUUAUAUCUACACAUCUGAAUAUUGCAAUUUUCCUUAGUAGUCAACAUAAAACUUAUAACUAAGAAUGUCUGACAUUCUUUCCCCCCGGCUGUCUUUGAAAUCUGGUAUUUUGCUCUUAGGGCACGUCUCAGUUUGAACCGUGUGCUUGCCGGUCACUGUGGUGAAUGGCUGCUGUCUUGGACAUGGCAUACACGGAGGGCCCAAGGCCCUGGAAGGGUGGGGAAGAUGAGGAUGGGCCUCAUGGGGGCUCAGCUGUGAGGCUGAGACAGGAAUCCUCCUUUGAAGCCAGGUUCACAGCACUCGCUGGGCACAGGGAUCUGUGAUUCGUGGGCUACGCUGUCUCUUGGUCACUGCUGAGCGACUUGGAUAUAGAAGGUGUGUUUGGGAAGAGCCGUGAAUAGAAACCAGGCUGUGGGUGCAUCUGUAGAGAUGCCCAAAGCCCACCCCCUGACCUGCCACCUCCACCUUAGUAUACAUAGGCUCCAUUUCUAAAGAGCAAGCCCCUCUCAACCUUUGCCCGGAGGUAUGGUGGCGUGGGGCGAAGAGGUAGGUCAGGAGCACCCAGGUCUGGCUUUUCACCUCUGCUGCCCGAGUGGCCCUGGCUAAGCCAUUUCAACUCUCUAUGCCUCAGUUUCCUCAGGAGGCCUCCAAGAGCAGCCUAGUGGGCACAGAACCAGCUCUUCAAAAGAGGCGAUUUGCAGCCUGGUGACGAUGAGGGGCUCAUGGACCAGCUCUGAUGACCUGGGUGCAGGGGGAAGGACACUGCAGGCUCCGUGGAGGCACCCAAGGGAGGACAUUAUUCCUGGACCAUUGCAGCAGCAGGGGUUUCCGUCCAAGGUACCUGGCCAGGAAAGGUUGGCCUUGGAGAAAGUGGCCUCAGAGCUUGAAGGAGGGAAGGGCGGCCACCACAGGGGCGGAGCAGAGGUGGUGUCAUCCAGAAGACAGCCGAGGAGGGGACCUUGCCUUUCCUCCUCUCAGGGAAGCCCCUGUGGUGCUCUGGAGUCUGCAGGGGGUUCUGAGUAAAUGGGGCACAAAACACUGCAGCAGCCCCCUCCCCCUCGCCCCCCAGGAGGGGGAAAGUCUCAGCCGUUACAUGGAUCCCUUGAGGGGAAGGGAAGCAAAGAAGGCCUGAAACCCCCUUCAGGCCUCAACUUUUUAUCUCAGGCUGAACUCUUCUUGGCCGUCGCUCGCCCAGGCAGCAGCUGUGGUCUCUACGUGACUGCAUGCAGUGAUCCAGCCAUGAGGCACUGGGGCUGCUCCUGCUGGGGCCCCUGUGGAGGAGGCUUGCUGGAGGCCAGCUGGGAGGGGAGUUUAGGAAGGAAACGGGUCUGAGUUCCAAAGCUUGAGGUUCCAGUCUCCAGAAUAUGAGAGCAUCCCUGGAGUAGCAGAAGCCCAGCUCGCUGUGUCGGUCCUGAAAAGUUGAGUGCUGGAACUGCCAGAUGGCUUCAGAAACUUGGGAUUCUGUACUUGGGAAGUGCCAACCUUUCUGGAGGUGGCUGUGCUUUGGGGUGAGCAGUUGAGGAAAUAAAAGAGGCCAGGGCCAACACCCUGCAGAAAACUGCUAGGCCAGCACUGCAAGAGGCUAGACAACCCCCAGGCCAAGUGCAUCCUUGCUGGGGAGAGAAUUUGCAGGGAGGAAGCGUGUCAUUAAUUGGACGGGGCUCCUUCUGUCUCCUACUUGUGGGGACAGCCAGAUGUUUUUCCACAUUGAAGGCUCGUCCACUAAAGACCCAGGCGAGCCUGCGUGUGUCCUGCUGUCUCUUAGUGGGGUAGUUUUCUUGGUGGCUCUGUGUAGAAUGGAAGUGGGGAGUUUCCUGGGGGUGGGCAUAUGGUGUACACACGUGCUCAGCAGUGUUUGUGGGAAGGGUGCACGGGGGAUGUCACGCCUGGCGAGGAGGAAGAGCCACUGGGUCACUCCUGUGUCCCUCUCUGACGCAUUCUUAGGUAGUCUCAUGAAGAGAACCGAAAGUCCAUCUUUCUUGCCAGAGUCUUGCUGCUCAAAUCCCUCAACUAAGGGAGAAAAAUCCAAUAAACUUGAAAAGCCUCCCCAUCCUGGAGUGUCGGGGAUUAGUGGUCAUGCUCGACUUCGAAUUAUCCAAGGUGCAGAUCCAGAGCUGAGCUGGCUGGGUGCAAGCAGGGUCCUUCUGCUUACUAGCUGUGAGGCCCCCAGCACUUCACCCCCUCCCCUUGCUGGACCUUAGUUUUCCUAUUUGGAAAAGGAGGUGCCGACACCCUGAACCUGCAGCUCCCUGGAUCAGGUGGAGCUUUGGACGUUGGUGGGUGUGUGGCCAGCGCUCCUCUGUGGGACCUGGGCUGAGGCUGUCCACACGAUGUUCUUUUUGUCUUCCAGGGGAGCUGGUACUGGACUGGCAUUCGAGGGCAGGAAUCCCCGGGGAGACUUGGAUUUGUUAUAGAAACCCACCCUUCAACUUGGCCAGCCCGUUUCAAAAUAGGGAGUUGACCCAAUAGCUUUGGUGAAUGCUCGUAGUUUAGACAGUGGGAGAGGCAGGAGAAGGCACUCCAGAGACAGCCUCCACAGAGGCUUCCGGGGCAGAGUCGGGGCAGAGUGGGGACAGGCGCCUUCCCUGGGGCCAGUGAUGACACAGUUAGAGAAUUUAAAGAUGAGAAAAACCAACCAGCCUCGGAGACUACUGUUUAUCAUCGCCAUGCAACAAGGGGUUAGUAUCUGUGAGAGGAUUUCCCUCUCCAUGAAAAAGAAUUUGUUCUAAGUUCUAAACAAUUGAUACAGUUACUGUUGAGCUGCUGAGUUUUAAGAAAAUAAAUGAGCUCUGUGGUGCCUUUUGAUUACUUACUUAUCCUUCAGGAGAAGUUGCAUUCUCUGUGGAAAACAGCUGGCCCCCAGUCCGUGCUUGCUCAGUGACAUGGCUCAUUUUGAGAGUAAAUUCAUAAUAGACUGGAACUUUCUCUCCUCACUUUAUAGAUAGUUCAUCUGUCCACCUUCUCAAUACAACAUAUUCUUUUUUUUUAAAGUGGGUGUAUCAAAAUUGAACGGAAUAUUAUGCAGUUAUCAACAAUAAGAAGUUGGAUCAGUGUAUGAUCUAAUAGAGGACAUAUCAUACAAUGUCCAACAUGCAGUGUUCAAGUAAGUAAGCAAGUUGCAGAACACUUAAAAUAUUUUAAAAGGUAGCAUUUACAUGUACUUACAUGUGUGUACACACAUGAAAUUUGUACAUGAGAAGAAUCUCUCAAAGGACAGAUAAACAAUUUUGCAGACUUAAAAGGAGAAUGAUAGCACAGAAAUGCAAAGACAAAGACCCAAACCACUUCAAUUCUCUCAUUCUGUCACUGCUUGGGGAUUUUGUUUAUGUUAAAAAUUUAACACAGUGAAACAGAGUAUGAAUCAGGAGUGCAGCAUUUUCGUCUGGUAAAUGCAAAUUUUGGUUCAUAUAUUAUUUUAUUGAUAUUUUUAAACACUGGCAUCUUUCUUUCUAAAUUGUUUAUUUGAAAGAUAAAGAACGUAUGUAGGGGGUGAUGACUAUUUCUGGUUAUCGAGUGGCUCCUAGGUGAGUCAUUUCUGCACAGGGGUGCGUGCCAUGGUCUGCUCCGGUGUCCAUACACUGCGCCGCUCACCUCUAAUCAAAAUUUGAAAAUGCUCUGGGGCAUUAUUAUCCCCACAAGAUUUGCCUGGAGGAAUGAUAUGACCAACACUGGCAAAUCCAUGGCAAAUCCAUUCUAGAAGGUUUUGAGUGAUUUCAGGAGCAUCCACUUUAUUCCUUCCACCAGGGACAUAUUGUUCUUUUUUCUCACCAUAGGAAACUCCCUAUUUCCUGACCCUGAAAUUCCUGGAAAAAACCUCUCUUAUUCUAGAGUUGAGAGACUGAAUAUGCCGAUGUGGUAGUGGCAGUUUCUUGGGAUGCAGGGGUCUCAGCUAAAGGAGCAAGGCACCCGCUGGGGAAAGUGUGGAGAGGGAGGACAGCGGCUCGCCCCCUCCUCCUAAGGACCCGUGCCCCUUGGGUCCUGGGGGCUGCUCCCACGCAGGCCUGCCUCCCUUUCCUGGUGAGUCUUGCGCCCUAAUCUACCAGGACGGCCUCUCCCCAAUGCUUCCUGGGGCUCUGUUAUUGGAGGGGUCUUCUGGCAGCAGAGCUCCCCCGCACAGCCUGGUGCAGGCACUUAGUGUGCUGAGUAGUCAGUGCACUGUGGCCCUGGCUGGGCAGGAGCCUGCGGCAGUCUGGGUCCAGAAUUGGCUCCUAGGGACAAAGACAAGACUGUAUCUGGCCAUUUGGGAGGAAUGGAUGUUUUAUAUGCGGACAAGAAGGUGGUUGGAACUCUCUCCUUUCCUGGUGACGAAGCUGUGUCGCCUCUUGGCUUUCUUGCUACAAAGGACUCGCAGCUGUUGUGGCGCUGUCCACGGGCCUUCUCUUGCACGGCAAGGCUCAGUGGCCUCAGCGUGUCUAGGAGGCCUAGGAAGACUGGCCUGUUUCCAGAGACACAUGCUUUUGCUGGGGGUGGGGGUGGCAGUUUGCAGCAGUUGGCAGAUGUGACCCUGGUGACAUCCAAGCUAGUAAGGUCUGCUGGGGGUCAUGGCUGUUGGUGAAACUGUCCAGGCCUCUUCUGCUGGGGCUUUGCGUCCUCUUCCCAAGUGUGAGAAGGCAGUCCCAGCAGGAAGUGUGGGGUUGACCAGGGACUUUAACAAAUGUUGACGGAUGGCUUUUGUGUCAUUGCAUGGGGCAUGCAGGCCAGUGAGGAAAGUCCCUGCCAGGCCCCAAGACCCUGUGAAUAAAAGCUGAAGGUGCUUCGAAGUUUCUAAAGUUGGUUAUUUGAAGAAAAAUGUGCAGCAGGGUCUUCUGUGUUUGUAGGGUGAGAGGAUCGAUUCUUUCUACACCACAGAGCCUGCCUGUAGCACCUGCCUCUAAAGUUUGCACACGGGAACAUGAAUCAAGCCUACAAGCAGUUAAAUAAAAUAUGCUCUGUUCUCAUAUUUUACAAAUCUAGGGGUUGGGGCUGGGGUUCAGUGACAGAGAACUUGCCUAGGAUGUGUGAGGUGCUGGGUUUGAUCCUCAGCACCACAUAAAAAUAAACAAACAAAAUAAAGCUAAAAAAAUAUCUAUAGUCACAUAUUUUUUUCAUAUAUUUCAAGACAAAACUGAAAAAUGUGUAAAGCUGUAGUUUUUUACAUGACCCAAAGCGGGCAGAUAUCAAAGAUGACUGAAUUAAUUAUUAAAUGUCCUUUUGUUCUAUUUGAAUGAUGAACAAGAUAAAGAUACACAUAAUUUAUAAUUACUCUAUAGUUCUCUAAAUUAAUUUUUUGCCUUCAUUUCAUCACAACCACAAAUCCUGUCAUUAAAAAUGAACAUUUUCACAUAAUUUUGUUCUAUUUAUAACAAUGAGCUAAGGGAUUUUUUUAAAAAAAUGUUAAUGUAUUUGAAAUAUGCACAAUUUAAAUAUAUUUUUAUCACAAAUGUGAAAGUAUAUGUAAAAACAUAAAAAAUGUAUUUUCUCAUAUAUAUUUUCAAAGAGAGUUAUUUUUUUCUUAUAAAACAUUAAAACUGGAAAGGCAAAAGUACAAAUUAGCAUUAAUAAAUGUCAAAAAGGUAGAUGAAAAUUAUUUAAAUAAAACUGGAUUUUAAAUGUUAAUUUAUGAAAAGUAAAUGAGAUCUUAUUAAAUAUCCUUGUAAAUAAUACCUCCCAAUUCUAGCAUUCGGUUCCCACCCAGCCACUGACAUAAAUUGGCAUCGCCCAAUGUCUUGCCCUUGGACCUACAUGGCUACCAGUUCAGAAAUCAUGGGAACCGUGGAAGUCUGCUCCACACUCCUCAUGGCCACGCCACCUGUGAUUGUCACGACGCCGUGUGACUUCCCGCAUCUCCAGGAGCAGUUAGAGCAGCAGCUCUCCUGGAUGGUUGAGUUAUGCAAGUGUCACUUGCUCCUCCUUCCUGCCACCCAGUGAGAAGGCCAAGGGCUCCUGUCUUUCCUCCUCCCUGUGUUGGGUUAGCUGCUCAAGUCCCCUCCCCUCCUGGGCCACCGUCCCGGGGGACAUCAACAGUCCUAGUAUGACCUGCAGAACUCUGGGGCACUUGGAGGCAGUGAGGCUUUCUUUUUCAUUCCAAGACCAGGCACAAAAUGUGGAGAUGGAUGGGAGACGCGUUUCCUGGGGCCUGAGUGGCCAUGGUUAUGGGGGUGGAUGUUUAGGGUUAAGAAUGCCCAGAGCCCUGGACCCCAGGCGACAGAGGGGCCGUGUGAAGUGGUCUGAACCUCGGGACUCAGGUCAGGUGUCCCUUGGCAGAGUCUUCUGGGCGUACUGACCACUCAUCCCGGGUACUGGGGUGACUCUUCUUGCCUUCUGGUGUGACUUACCUGGCUCUGCAGGGCUCGGUUUCUGGAUCAGCCAUCCUCUAUGGAAGAAGGAAAUUUCUGAGAGUCCCAGCUGCCCGGGGGCUCGUUCCAGCCCUGGCCAGUCUUGGGGUGGUGCAGCAUUGGAGCUGAAGCAAAGGUUGUGUGGACCUUGCUCUUCUAGUAGGGUCCUUCUCCUGAAGAUGUGGGAAGUCACAUGGCGUCGCAGCAAUCACAGGUGGCCGUGAGGAGUGUGGAGUGGCUUCCCAUGGUUUCUAUGAUUUCUGAACUGGUAGCCGAGUAGGUCCAAGGGCAAGACGUUGGGCGAUGCCAAUUUAUUCUAAUGCUAGAAUCGGGAGGUAUUGUUUACAAGGAUAUUUAUUAAAAUCUCAUUUACUUUUCAUAAAUUUAUAUUUAAAAUCCAGUUUUAUUUAAAUAAUUUUCAUUUACACUUUUGACAUUUAUUAAUUUCAAUCAAUGGCCAGUCUCGGAGUGGUUGCAGCACUGGACCUGAACAAAGGUUGUGUGGUCACCUGGGAGAAGUGGGUGCUCUGUGGUGGCAGGAGCUAUGGGGUGGGCCUUAUGUGUCUGUGCACUCCUCUCAGAGGCUGCUGCCCAGGUACUGUCUCAAAGCUGGACUUGAUCCUUGGUGGGUCUGAGCCUCAUCUGGCCCUCACUCCUGUGUCCCUGACUUCUCUUCCUAUUUCUGUGUCUUUCCCUCAGAUCCUGAGCUCCAUCAUGGUCUACUGCCUGGCAACUUCAACCGUAUCCCUGAUUCUCUCCUUGCUGGCCAGCUUUGCCCCAGUGGCUCCCCUCCUGCAAAUAGGGCAAAAGGCAUGGAGAUGAGACCAGAGUGUCCGGCUCUGGGGGUUUGAUGGACCGAGACAGACAAGUGAGCGUACAAGCAAACAUUUUGAAAACGAGCGCAUGAGUCAAUGGUCAGGACUGGUGCACGUUGAUUGGGGUGGAUGUAACUGAAGGGUCACUAGUAGGAUUUCCACAGCCAGCUGGCUCAGGGCCUCUCUGGUCACCCUGGGAAAGCCUUACUUUUUGAAAGGUUCCAGUCCUCUCUCAGUGAAAACACACGGGUGUGACAACACCCAUGGUUCCCUGACCUCCACAGACUGAGGUCUGAGCCCAUUGAAAUCAGGUGUCUGAAGUCACGCAGAAUGGCUUUCAGUGGUGCUGUGAGCCGACCGUUUCAGGGUACUCCUUCCUCCGAUUUCACAGAUGUGUCGGUUGGAUUUUAUUCUUAAGUGGCCUAAGCCAAAAGCAUCUUCUCCCAGAAACAGCAGGUUCAUUUCAAUUCAAUAUUUCACUUUGGACAACUGCUUGCCUUCAUUUAGCGCCGCAUGCUGGGACUUGGUCUCCCCGGGCGUUCUGGCUUCCCUCCCGUUAGCGACGGUGGCAGCAGUGCAGACAGAUUGAGGCCCCAGGAAGGCGGACCCCCCAACUGCGCGGCAGCAGUGAGCUGGGAGCAGAGGCUGUGCACGCUAAUGGUUGUGAGUGCUGCUUUUCCAGCCAUGAGCUGUCUAUAUCGCAUUUGCGUGGAGACACAAAACAUCUAACUAUCAGACGAAGCCAGACGCAACACCCAGCACAGAGAGGACAGCGUCUUCUCCAGCUGUGUCUGGUGCCCGGGGUCACCGAGGGGAAAAAUGACAAUGCCUUGUGUGCUGGGUGGUGGGUGGCUACAGGAUUUAGAGAAGUCUCUCUCACUACCCCAGGCAAAAAACCUUCGUUGUCCUCUGCCUGGGUAGAUUACUCCUGCAGACACUGGUCUGAGUCUAGGCUGAGCCCAGUCUGCCCUGCAGGGCUUCUCUGGUACUGGGGGUUGCAAAUGUGGAAUUCUGGGGGCAGCUCUCCAGGCCCAUGUGGAAAGAAGUGCUGAGACAGAACACAGAGGGCCCUGGAGGCCCGGGGCUGCAGCGCAGGGCUGGCCUCCGGCUUUUGUAGGUGAGGAGGGCCAUCCUCCUGCAGCACAGGUGUGCAGUGGUCUUGGGGCCGGGCAGGUGGGCUUGUUUGCUCUGCUGCUUCCUGUGGACAGUGUCCAUGGCUCUGGGAGGCUCUCUGCCAUCACAGGUCAGGUUGAGCGGCUUCCAGCUCAGGGUAUCUGGGUGUACGUGCCUCCUGAAAAGCCUUCUCUCCCUGGACUGGGAGCAGCUUCUUCUGCCCAGCAAAGGAAGUAGGUGAGAGGGAGGAAGACCCCUAUGUGUGGCUGGUGGCAGUGGCUCAGAGCCACAUGGGGCAGGGGAGACCCUGCUCUUACUGAUCUCCUCCUUGGAGGGAAGGUAUUAGGGCAUCAAGAACAUUCUUGCUGCUCAGACAGAGUCCUCUGGAGAAGGCGGCCCAGGUGGGUUAGGGUUAGGCACUUCUGUACUCUGGAGAUGGGAGCCUCGUCUGUGAUAGUUCUGACUAGGCUGCCUGUCACAUCUGCACAAUGGGAAGCUGGGCCAGAGGGUUUUACGGUCCACACUGAACUUGAGGUUCUGGGAGGGCAGUCAGAGUUUAGUUACAAUCUUUGUUUUCCAGGAGACCCAAGUUCAAGUCCCAUUCCCCAGUUUCUUGUUGCUGUGCAGCCUAGGACAAGCCACUCCCCUCUCUGUACUGUCCUCCCAGCACAGGUGGUUGGUAUGAGGAGCAGUCUGGCUCACAGGGCUUGUCCUGGACAGUGGUUUCUUUCCCUACAUCUCCUUUGAGUUGGCAGAGGCCCACAGACAACCAACCCCAUCUCCGGAGCAUAGACCUUGUCUACCGCAUAGCCAAGUUUCCCAUGCACUCCAGAUUUGAGGACGGCCAGCUGCCGUGUAAUUCAAAUGAGAGCCCUGUUGCCCUUUGAGGACAAGCCUCAUGUAAGGUCCACCUGUCACCUGAGUCUCUGUGGCCCAGCUCAGUGCAUGGCCUCUGCUAGUGCUGAGACACCAGAUGCCUAUAGCCUCAUGUCUGCCCUGCAAGGGGUGCUAGCCUAUCCAGGGGCCACGGGGCUGGGUUUUCGACCAGCUCAUGUGGUGCUGGCUUGUCUGCAUGUGUCAGUGCUGAAGCCCUGUGAAGAACCCUCUCCUGCCCCUUCGAUGCCUGCCCCAGUCUCCAGAUAAGAUGGGAAGGGAAGUGGAUGAGGGACUCCAUUCAGCCUGACCUCAGUUAACAUUUCAGCUCUGCCAGGCAUCAGCUGUGCAUCACAAGAGAGGUCACUGAGCUCCUGAGUCCCAGCUUCUGGUCUGUAAAAGCGGGUGCUGAUUCCCUUGGCAGGAGGGGUGUGAACAGCAAAGGCUGCCAAGUCUCUGCACAUGGGAGGCAUCGGCAGAAACAUUUCUGUUGUUCAGAGCAAGGUACUUGUGCCCUGGACCAGCGUCAUCAGCAUCACCUGGGAACUUGUGAGCAAGGGAAUUGUCAGACCCUCUCCCCAUGUGCUGAGUUGGAACCAAAGAGAUGGGGUGACGCCAUGGAUCUGACUGUUCACAGCCCUGCAAGUUCUACAGCAUGGUAAGGCCAGAGACCUCGGACUUGGAGAUAUGUUGCAAACUUCUUCUUCCAUGGUAUUUCCUUGCCUGGUUCUGCUUCCUUCCUCCGAAUGGGACUUGGGAGAGUCUCCGAACUUGGGAGGGCAGUGAGUCUGGGCUGGAUCUGUCAGCUGGGCUUGGAUAAUGUUUGCUGGAUUGGAGGCAAGAGAAAGGGCAGUAGGACCCUUGGGUCCUGUCCUCCUCUGGGUGCAGACAAGGGCCUCUUAUCUGUGCCUGUCUGGGAGGGCUGCCCCUCCUCAUUCCCUGGACAGGAGUGUGCGGCUCCUGUGCAGUCUGUCUCCCCCUGCUGCCUGUCACCUGGGCACACUAAGGAGACACGAUUGUGGAGGCAUGCAGUGGGUGCUUGAACCCUUUGUGGGACAUGAGAGGAUGGGCACUCUGUAGAGUACUACAGAGCACUUCUGGGAGAAGCACAAGGGGACAGAGAGUGGUGAUUCAGAUGCAGGCCCAGCCUGGGGGCACUUGAGCUGUAGCCAUCCCAGGUGUCCAUCAAUUCCACAUGUGGGCAGCAAGCCAGGUGCUUUGAAUGCAGAGUUAAUAAUUAGGUAAAAUCAAACGGUCUAUUCUUGAAUACGAAACAGAGCAGCAUAAUGAACUUGUAAAACCUUUUAGAUUCUUUUCAGCAUGGUGACAAGUUUUUUUAAGUUGUUUUGAAGCUUCUUUUCUCGUGUGGUUUUUAUUAUGGUAAAAUAUACAUAACAUAAAAUUUACCCUUUUAACUAUUUUUACGUACAUAGGUCUGGGACAUUAAGCACACUCAUGUAGUUCUGCAAACGUCACCACCAUCCGUCUCCGGAACUUUUCCAUCUUCCCAAAAUGAAAUUCGGUCCCCAUUAAACACUAGCUCCUGUCCUUCCCUCUCCUUGGCCCCUGACGGCCACUUAUUCCAUUAAAGCCCUGACUGAGAUAAAAGGAGGUGGUGGGAGGUUCUAAGAAACCCCUCCUUCAAGAGUAUACUUAAGAACCCAGUUUUCUUGAGGCAGGACCUCUGCUUGACCUCCAGACGUGAGCACAGCACAGAGGUAUAGACGUAGGCGGGAACGUUGGGCCCCUUUGGAAUAGUUGCACAUGCUUUAUUUUGCCCUUGAUGAAAAGAGCCGUGUUAAGUUUAUAAAAGAGCACUUGCAGAAGAAGAAAGCCUUGGACCCAGCCAUGGCCUUCCUGAGUUGUUGACAGCUGUUAUUCACUGAAAACCUCCCUGGAAACAAAGAGAUAUUGCAGCAUUGUUCAGCGUGGGUGUUUGAAGUGGCCUCCUUCCAGAGCUCUGCUGAUGGAGGGGCCGGGUCUGGGCCAGGGCCUCGUGCCUCCUGCUUUCUUCCUAUAGCUGCUGCAGCUUCGAAGGAGCCUGGGAGUGUCCUGAAGCAGUCCAACUUGCAGGCAGUCCUUUCUUCCACGUGCCUGUGACUUCCUGAUGCUCUACUACUCCCUUCACAGGGCUGUGCUGCUUUGGCAGAGAAGCAAAGAUGACAGGCACCUUCAGGACCCCUGCUUGUCGAUGUCCCUGGGAUAUCACCUGAGUGCUAGGGUAGGAAGAAUCUGGGGCACUUAAGAAAAACUGAAAGUGGCCAUUUUUUUCCCCAGGAAGGGAGGUACCCACGUCCACAUCCUGCAUCUUCCUCUUUGUGAAAUCCAUGCUGCGGGCCGGCCCUGGAUGCUGUCUGCAGGCCUGUCCCCGCUGGGUGCUGACAGCGUGGGCCCCUGUGCCUUGCUGAGUCAUCUCGGGCUCACUUUUCCCACCAGUGCAACGGGGUUAAUGACGCCUGCCCCGGCUGGGGACUCAAACGAGAAAACCUAGGUGAAAGUGACUUGAAACUCAGAAAGUGCCUUCCACGUGGCCUGUGGUGGCCUUGUGGCGGGCAUCCCUCUGGGGGAGACCUGCGGAGCGGGUUUGGCAGGGCCUCCGGAUGGGGUCUCUGGGGGGGGGAGCCCCUCCAUCCCCCGGCUCACUCACCUCCAUCCCCCCCCACUCACCUCCCACGGGUAUGAUCAUUUCCUACGUGGGCCCUGACAAUGGAGGGGAAGCCCUUUGGAGAGGUCCGUCCGGGUAAGAGCAGGUGAGGCAGGUCCUGGACAGGGCUCCCAACUCACCCUGUGCUGUCACUGGCUUGGUGACACUUCCUCUGGGAGUUCUCCCAGGGGCAGACCACCUGUGCUGGGAGUGCUGGUUGAGCUGUCUCCCUGUAGACAUCUACCUUUAGCCCAGGUCCUGGAACAUGGGAGGUCUUCAACUAGCAGUGAGCACCCUAACAAAUAUCAUCAUGGAACAUCAGUCAUCGUACCUAUUUAUAAUUAUUUACUUCUUUAAGAUUAGUUGAAGAAUAAGUUUUGGGGAGGAAAAAAAAACAUGCCGCAAAAGUAGCAUCAUCAACAGUCUGGUUUCUCAACGUGCCACUGGUAGCUGGGUGGGCCCAGAGCCUGGUAGAAACACUGGUUCAGACCUGAUCCAGACUGGCUGAGUCAGCAUUUACUUUUCGGGUGUCUUCAGGGCCCUUGCAGAUGAGGGAGAGAAGCUCGUGCAGGAUCACCUUCCCAGACCUGGGAGCAGCGGAGCUUGUGGAUUCUCACCUCUGGGGAGACUCCCAGCCACAAAGCCAGGGAUUUCCCAGCUCUGGUGGGGGGGUGCUGCCAAAAGGGGACACACAUGCUCACGGCUCUGGGGGUGGCUAGGGACCCCUCCUUCACUCCUGCAGCGUGUAGGCCAGUGGCCUAGGAGGAGUGAGAACAACCCGCUGCCUUGGCUUUCUCUGGCCCCCUUGUCCUCGAGGGACCCUGGCUGACUAACACCUUUGCCCUGCCCAGGCGGAGAUUUUGGUGCCCCAUACAGGGAGAUGUGCUAAGAGGUGACUUUGGCCUCAAUUAGUCCCAGGCUCCAGAUAAGAGGAUUCCAGAUCCUUACCCAUGCAGGCGACUGCAGCCCUCCUAGUCUCCCUUAGACGUACCUGCCUUCUCUCCUGCUCCUGGGAACAGCCCUUGCACUCCAGUCUUGGGUGGAUUGUGAUUCUGCACUAUUAUUUUACCAUGAGCUGAGGUCGGGAGAAGACUACUAUUCCAAGUCUGGGCCCAGCUAGCCAUUUAUUCCAUCAGUCCUUUUUGAGCACCUACUGUGUGCCAGGUGCUCAGCUGGGCACUGAAGACACAGCAGUCACCACCCUGGCCCUCAUUCUCCAGGAAGACACUGGCAAAUGAUGGUUAAGAAGCCAAAAUCAGCAUUUUGCUCAUCAGCUGCGUGACCUCUGGAACCUCUCAGGGUCUCGAUUUCUUCAGAUUUAAAAUGGCAAUGGACAGGUGGUUUCCCUGAGAGGGUUUCUGUGAGGAGGAAGUGCGUUAAUGCACAGUGCCUGGCGAUACUUAUGCAGACAGGAAGGGGGCUGCUCAGGGACCAAGUGCUAAGUGUGAGCAACCCUCUGGGUCUCCUGCUAUAUUCUAAAACCCAUUUGAAUGCUGGCAGACUGUCCUUCAGCUGUCCUUUGGCACUCAGGGCCUGAGACCCCAGCUUCCCAUCUGCUCAGAGGGGAAUUUAGUCUCCUCCUCAGGUGGGAGUGAAGACUGACCGAGCCAUGUAGACAGGUGUGUGGUGGUGCUCAGAUCAGGGGUCCUGUCCUCCUCAGCUCUUGGGGAGGAUCUCCAUGUCUGAACUGGUUUCUCUAAUCCUUGAUUUAUUGCCGUGACGGUGUUUGUUCUUUGUGAGUCCUUCUGCUUCAGCUUUGUGAUGAAUAAAUCCUUGAUCACAGUCAAUUC